ACAGUCCCUGAACCACAUUAUUUCCCCUUCUGCCCAGCCCUUUCUGCAAUGCUAAAGCCCUAAAUGAAGCAAGUCUAGAUUUCCCCGGGUUCAGGAUCUCCCAUCCCACUGUGGCUCCUUAUCAAUUUUUAAC